CAGCCGUAAACUAUGCGCGUUAGGUGUAUCGGUGACCACGAGUUACCGAGGUGCCGAAGGGAAACCGUGAAACGUGCCGCCUGGAAGUACGGUCGCAAGGCUGAAACUUAAAGGAAUUGGCGGGGGAGCACAACAACGGGUGGAGCCUGCGGUUUAAUUGGACUCAACGCCGGACAACUCACCGGGGACGACAGCAAUAUGUAGGCCAGGCUGAAGACCUUGCCUGAAUCGCUGAGAGGAGGUGCAUGGCGUAGACGUCU
rnacentral:rRNA from 1 species